UACGUAGGGGGCAAGCGUUGUCCGGAUUUAUUGGGCGUAAAGAGCGUGUAGGCGGCCUGACAGGUCUGCUGUGAAAACUCGAGGCUCAACCUCGAGAUGUCGGCGGAAACCGUCUGGCUAGAGUCCGGAAGAGGAGAGUGGAAUUCCUGGUGUAGCGGUGAAAUGCGCAGAUAUCGGGAAGAACACCCGUGGCGAAGGCGGCUCUCUGGGACGGUACUGACGCUGAGACGCGAAAGCGUGGGGAGCGAACAGG
rnacentral:rRNA from 1 species